rnacentral:lncRNA from 10 species
CCUGGGAUGUGCUGCUGUUACGGACCCUGGGCUCAGCAACCUACCCUCCACUUCCCUUCCCCCCACGCCUCCGCCCAACACACACGCACACACAGUCCAGCCUCCCACCGGACACCUAACCUCAGUCCCCCCUGCAGCGCCAGGAGGAAUAAGUCAGGAGCUUUGACAACAGUGGUUCUCAAACUCCAGUGUGCCCCAGAAUCAACUGGAUGGUUUAUUAACACUGAUUGCUGGGCCUCAUCCUCAGAGAUACUGAUUCUGUAAGUAGAUCUUCGGUGGGGUCUAAGAGUCUGCAUUUUUAACAGGCUCUCAGGUGAUAUGACGCUGCUGGUCUGGGGACCACAUUUUGAGAACCAACAAUCUACAGAAUUACUUCCUAUAACUGGCAUGAUUAUUAAGUGAUGAUGAAUCUUUGAAGGGAUAAAUAAGCAUGGUCUUUUGACUUAUGAACUUAUUAACCUGAGCAGUAUUUCCGGACUGUGUUCCUGAAGGGACAGUCAUAGAUCCUGAGAAGAGAUAGUAGUGAAACUUACAAGUCAGCACGAGUUCCCUGAGAAUAAGUAGGUAAAGCUAACUUUAUUUCUUUUAUUGUUAUGACUACUAGAUUGGUAAAUUGGAGAAAUGAUAUAGGCAUAGAUAUUGGACUAGCCAGGCUUACCAGGCAAUACCAAAAUGUGUUGAGUUGAUUAAUGGAUGGGUGCCAACCUGGGUAGAUAUUGCUUGUAGAGUGCCAGAGAGUUCUGUCUUUGGCUUUGUCUAAUUCUUUCUCAGUUAUUUGGAUGAGCCAGAACAUAACCCAUUCCCAUUCCUCAGGGGUAUGAAAACAUAGACAAGACCACUUGACAGACAAUAAAGAAAGGGUGUGAAGGACAGCCAGAGGAGACUUUGAGGGCCCAAACAAUCCAGAACUCUGAUUCUCUGAUAGUUAUGAUCACUUGAUUACCUGUUAUGAUACUGUAGUGUAAUAGCCAAAAUAGGUAUGUGACUGCCUUAGAGUUUGUGGUCUUUGCUGCCAGGAUGACAGCAAAUUAACCUUAAUUUUCAAGAACACAUCUCUUGCUGCUCAAUCAAAUUUUAUCCUUUCUCGUAUGUCUUCUUUCAACCUGCUCUUAGAUUGCUCUUUCAGCUCUACAAGGGUCUGUGAAACCAGAUAACUAGACUUGACAAGAAAUAUAAAUGCAACAAGAGUAAGCAGACCAAUGGAGAACAUAAGGGACCACUUGUUUGGAGUUUGGCUCUAGAGUCUCAGAGAGUGUUUUCUCUUACAUUUAUGUUCCAAAGGAAUGAAACGAUUCAAUCUUUGGCCUCCUGAGCUUUCAUAUGUUGGUAUAAGAGACUCAACUAUCUUCUACUCAAUUAUCAUUCACAUUUCAGAGAAAAUUGUAUUUAUUUUAUUGAAUGAUGACUUACCAAAAGGUUGCUACAAAUUAAUAGAAGAUGAAAUACAUAAUGCUGUAUAUUCUGCUCGAAUAUAUUCAUUGUUCAAUUAAAUAUGGUUGCAAGCACAAUAUUAAGACAACUGCCUUGUAUUCAUGUAUAUACACAUACCCUAUAAGCCCUGCUUUCUCAUUUGCUAUUGCCAAGGUGAUAGCUGUUAAUGACAGAUGGGAAAAUGUUUUAAAUAGAAAGGAAUUUGGAGGAAACUAAAAUAAAUCUCACUUUACUUCAUUAUUCCACAUCUUCUUUCCCUGAGUGGCAACAUAUUAAUGAGGACCCUCUUAACAAUACAUGAGUUUUAUUUGAUAGGCUGUCUGAUUUGCGCUUAUUUCCCAUAGGCAAUGGGUGUGUGUAGUCAAGUCCAGGUUAGGGUCAGACAGGUUUUUCAUUUAUCUUUUCUAAUGACCUGUAAAUGUUCCACUGACUUGGGCUUUUAUUUCGGAAGUAAACAUUUUGCUAACUAGUCAUGGGUCAUGUAGGCACAUUAACAACUCCCUGCUAAUUUAUCAUCAUUGCGUAGCUAACCUCCAGUAGGUAAACUAGGUCCUUUUUGCUCUCAUGAUUUUAUGAUGUUGGCAGUGGUAGUAAGUAUGCAUUACUUUGUCUCAUCCCCAACCUGAGAAAAUGAACCUUUUUACAGUCCUUUCAAUCUGAUCACACUAUUUUAAGUGCUGAUGUAUUCUGAAAAGAUGAAUUGUUUUAUGUUGCAAUGUUUCCACUGAGUAAUAGAGUAUCAUGUGGGUGAGGGAGGAAGAAGUAUAGAGUUACAAAUUUAAAUACACUGGCUCUCUAUUCAGAGACUUCCAUAUAAGGGAGCAAGGUGAUACUAUAAAAUAUUCAGAUGUAUUCUAGGGGUACUGUGUGUUUCCUAGAUUAUCAGUUUCCUUUGCUACAUUUCUGGGGACUAACUGCCAACAUAAGAAUUGUAGAUGAUUCAUAAUUAGUAAAUGUGCUUUUUUUUUCUUUGCAGCAAUAUUUGUAAAAAUAACCUUAUUUUUGGUACAUUUAUUUCUGUCUAUUGGGCAAUUUGUGAGAAAUAUAUUACUUGAAAUGUCAUGCUUCAGAAUUUUUUUCUUUUCAUCUAUUUUGAGGAAAACAUUAAGGUUCUGAUUUGAAUUGUUUUAGGAUAGAAAUGUAUUAAGUAACAUAUGUUAUUAAUAAGCUCCAUGUUUUUCUCUAUUCUCUAUAAGGUGCUAAAACAUGCCAGACAGCAGAUUCUUAAUCUAGAAAAUUAUUUAAGCAGCAGCAACAAAAUUCAAAUUUUCUGACAGCGGAAGGUAGAACAGAAAGUUCUCAACUGGGGAUGAUUCUGGCCCCUGGGGACAUUUGUGGAGACAUUUUUGGUUGCCUCAACCUGAGGGGGUCAGGGGAAGUGUGUUCUACUGGUAUCUAGUGGGUCGAGACCAGGGGUGCUGCUCAACUUCCUGCAGUGCAAAACACAGUGCUCACAAUAAGGAAUUACCCAGCCCAGAAUGUCAAUAGUGCUAAGACUGAGAAACCUGGGCCUACAACUGUUUUCAAUACAAAUACAAAUGAAAAUGAGGGAGGCAGUCUGAACUUUACACACUGGAUCAAGAUCCUUUUCAAAGGUGGAAAUAAAGCAACCCUAAAGGAGGAACUCCACCUAGGGUACAAGAAGAGAGGAAACGUUUUGUUCCUUUGUGUUCCGCAUGUCAUUAGGAAGUACACAUGGGUGGACUAUUACAUUACAGUGAAUCAUGACCAUGUGUUCAUUCUAAACAUUGUUGUAUUUGUUAUUCCUAACUUUAAUAAACUGUAAAAUCUGAAUGUGGCAUCACCAAACACCAUGAAAUGUGUUCUCCCCUUUUCCAAUAGUGCAUCAACUAAUGGUUAAAUGUGAUCUUUAACUUGACAGAGUCUAUGCAAUCCUUCCACAUUUUAUUCGGCUUAGAGAUCACAGCCUCUAGAACAGAAUGAUAAUUUAAAGCAGAUGUUCUUCUAAACUAUGUUUCACUCAAAUCCAGCAAUAUGAUAAAGGGAAAAAAUGGGGAAACAUUGAUGGGGCUUCAGGAUAAAGGGUUUUAUAUUUUUCACAAUGAUUUGAAUGUUAGUUCUCUUCUUUUUCAGGCCACAUUCUGGUGUAUUCUCUCAUGAUUUAAUUACAUGUUACCUGUUGCUUUAGUCUAUCCUUUCUGAUUUACUCCCAGUUUCUAUUUCAUUUAUAUAAGUGUGUGUAUGUGUGUGUGUUUGUGUGUGUAUUUAUAUAUGUGUGUAUGUAUAAUGUAUAUGUAUACACAUGUGUAUAUAUACACAUUAUAUAUAAUGUAUAUGUAUACAUGUGUGUAUAUAUACACAUUAUAUAUAAUGUAUAUGUAUACACGUGUGUAUAUAUACACAUUAUAUAUAAUGUAUAUGUAUACAUGUGUGUAUAUAUACACAUUAUAUAUAAUGUAUAAUC